rnacentral:lncRNA from 1 species
UGCUAUACUGCAGAGCCAACAGACAGUUAUAUUGUAGCAAACAAACCAAAAAACUCUUGAAGGUCCUGUAUUUACUUGUUUUUCUGUGUAGGAUUUCUAGGUUGUAUAGUCAGUAUCCAAGAAUUACAUUUUUUGGGCAGUACUCGUUUGGUUGAGUGAUUCUUCUGUGUGAUGUGAAUUUGAGAUGUAUAUAUGGAUAGUUU